GCGGGGCCGGGCCGGGGCCGAGCCGGCACGGGGGGCACGGGCGGGCCCAGGGGCGGGGCCCCGCGGCGCCGAGCGCUGCCCGCCCCUCGGGCGCUGCCCGGCCCGGGCCGUGGGGCAAGGCUCGGCUGCAGCGUCUGCGGGAGCCCCGAGAGCGCGGCUGGUUUGUCCCCUGAGAGAGGAGCCCGGGGCAGCCCCAGCUGCGGGAGCCUGGCUGGCUCUGGUUUCCCGGGAAUGACAUGGAGCCGCAGAUAACUUGUGGAUCUGUGCGGCGGUGGUUAUGGUAGCUUUCCACGCUGUCAGUGUACAAAUGCAGCCCUGAUCUCUGGCCGAAGAGGAGCUCUGUACACGCUAAUGGAGAUGGCAGCGGUAUCAGAGCCCUCCUAUGAUACCUCGUAUUUUACCGUCCUGCCUUAAGGGGCUUAAAACUUGGUAAAACUGUGCCCUUUGGGGAUGAGGCUUUCAGUGCGUGUUUUACCCACGCGUUCUUAGAAUAGCCGAGCAGAUCCAUCGGAGGAGUUGCUCCCCAAUGAGGGGGCUAAUGAGUGAAGGUUGAAUGAGCUGUUCUGUGGGGAAUGCUGUUCUCUGUUUUCCUGCUGGUCAGGUGUGGGCACUAGAGCCAGGGCAGGAGUUCACGGGAUGGUGUCUGUGAAGGUUCUGGUAGUGUGUCUUCUGCCUCGCUGCACCCAGCCAGCUAAAUCCCUCCCUGUUUGCUUGCAUAUGCAUGGAAAGCAAAUGGAGUUUGGCUGCUGAGAUGUCCUGCUGCACGGGGUUCUUCCAGCACAGCACUGACAGGGACACAGGUGUCUCGUUCCUCGUGUCCUCGGUGCUCCUUUUGUCUCUAGGAGAGGAAAUGUCUCUAAGAAUGUUCAAGAACCGCAGUAAAUGUCAGUGAAAGCUGAAAAGAAGCUGCAGUUGAACAGGCAAGGUGCAAGGAAGGAGGCAGAAGCCAGGAAGAAGAGUUGGAUGAGGAGGCAGGUUGGAGGGCAGCGAAGGUUUGUGUUCUUGUGCAGUUCUCAGUGCCUGGCAGAAGGCUGCAGUGACUGAGGCUCCUCUGCUGGGAGCGAGGAGAAGGAGGCAGAUGGACCAGGAAUAAGUGCACAGGGGCAUGCAGGGUUUUCCUGCUGGGAGGGCAGAGAUGUACUUCGGGUGAGAGCUGCAGGGCAGAGAGAGAGGAGCCAAAGCCUGGGAUGUGCAGCUGGAGAGCAGGGAAGGCUGUGGCUGGAGAACGCUCCUGCCAAAGUCAGACACCUCUGGAUCAUGUCAUCAGAGUCAAGUAAAAUCAGCCAGCCUGGGAGCUCCUCUUCCUCUCCUGUACAGGCAGAGGAAAUGCCAAAGACUCCUCCCUCAGCUGAGAGUUGUGGUCCUGCAGCUGGAUUGGAGAUUCCCGUCCUGUUGAAGGUGGAUAUUAAUACAGGAGAGUCAGUGUUGUUGUUGAGGUGUCUUGCUUAAAAAAAUAAUGUGAAAGUGAUGUGCACAAUCUAAAAGUCCUUAAAACCAUCUGGUUGCAAAGAUUUUUAGGAAGAAGAAAACGUUCCUUGCUGUGAUGGUUUGGCCUCUUUUGCUUGCCCUUAGAUCUCUAAGGCCUUUUUCAGUUUUGUCUGUGUACAUAACUUGCUGUUAUUAGCUACUCAUGAGACACUUGCUGUGCUUAUUCUAGGUUUGUUUCAGGAAAGCAGGUAUGCAUUGUGAGCUUGGCAUCAGAGAGCAGCCACCAGAGCCUUCAGUAGGCUAGGCUGCUGAUAGGUAAUAGCACACAUUUCUAAUUACCCAUUUUGCUCUUCUCUGAGCCUGCCCUCCUCUCCUGGCCUUCUGCCUGACUCCUGGCUCUGGGAAAUGCUUGCAGUGUUUUAGACACGAGUGUUCUUCUUGAUGCUGACUGACUGACAGCAUUCAGUUUCCUACUUGCUCCUCCCCUUUUUUUCCCACAUUAUUUCAGUGUUUUAAAAACAUCCAUUUCCAUUUUAAAGUAGUUCACCAAUAUCCUGAAACUUCCUGAAUUUUGAUAGAAAUAAGAAGUCCAGAACUUCUGGUCAUCUCUCAUAAAAAGUGUCUAAUUCUUAAUUUACAUCUGUGUCUUGCAACAGGAUUCUUUUAGUAGUAUAGUGCUCUUGCAGACACAGUUUUCAGUUGAAUGUCUUUGUCCUUCCCACAGAGAUUCUCGUUCCUGUGGUUUUCUACCUGGAUCUGCUCAGGGAGUGAAUGAGGAAUGUGUGAUGAAAGAGGGCAGUUAUUUGUAGGAUCUCUUCAUAUCUUUGAAUAAAGGAAGGUGUGUAAGGAAUUAUGUGAAAAUUGUAGGAAGAAAAAAGGUGGCCUCCUGUUUGAAGCAACUGAAUAUCACUCUGCCAAAGUGAGUUUGGGGUGUUUUAUGUCGUGAGUCCCACUUUAUUCAGGUUUUCCUUGCUUGGAUUGUGCUUCCCUCAGAUUAAGAGUGGAAAUUUUUAGCCAGAGGAGCAGAUGUGCAGAACGCUCAUAGCUGCAGCUGGAGUCUGCCUGGAACAGAUAAAUCUCAAAAGUCAUGCUAUGAAGCAUUUUUUGCACUUUUCAAGAGGAGAGUUUGUAAUUCACUGGCCUUUUGGCUUUAAUCUCCUGGCCUCAGUAAAUCUCGUGGCCUUCAUUCUGUUGGUGAGGGAAAUGGGCCACUCCACUGCAGCAUUGUGACAACACUUCAUUGUCACAACAGUGAACUCCUGGAAAAGCUGGUUACAAAGUCUGUUUUCACACUGAGCUCUGGGUCUGAGCAUGUGACUCUGUGUUGAGCAAAGAGAAUAAAAUACAGCUUUGAAUCAGUGCUCAGUCACUGGGGAUGAGAAACACCUUGUAUGAAACAUCAUUGCUGGCCCUCAAACAAGGCUGGAAAUGCUGUAGUGGAGGUGAUGGAGGAGACCUCAGCUGGUAAGUUAACGUGGUACAAUGCAUCAAUAUUCCUUGGGUUUUUCCUCUUUGUUACCCUGGUCAGGGAGGCAUCGGGUUUGCUUUUCUUCUUCUGUUUGCAUUUGUCAGCAGGCACACAGAGAUGCACCAUCAGGGCUUCUCACUGCUGGAAGACUUGAGCCAGCAUAAGCACAGAGCAAUAGAAGCAGCACAUGUCCUCAUGGAAGUCUUCUUUCUCCCACAGCUGGCAUGGGAAUGUCCUUUCAUUCCUUGAUAACAUUAGCUAACCUAGUAAAAUAGGAUUUUUCUUUCGGAAUGGCUACAUCUGCCUGGGUUUUCCUCUGUAUGGAUUCAUCACAUGAGGGUGUGAUAAGUAUUGCAAUCUUAAAGCUCUUAGAGGACAUGGGUGUGAUGUUGGGAAUUGCUGUAGGCGAGCCCUUGUUUCCUUCCCAGACCUGGCUGUGUUCCAAUUUCCCCAGCAGUUCUUUUAUCUCUUGCAUUCCCUGCCUUCAUUACUCUUAUCCCUUCCCCAGUGUAGCAUGCAGCCAUACCCCUGUCCCUGCCUCUAGAGUUUCUCACAUCAUUCUUCAGAAACGCAAGCCUCUUAAUAAAUCAUUUCUCUGCUUGUCACUGUUCUAGAGUAGUGAAAGAUGCCUUUCACCUUACAGAGACUUUGCAUUAGUUACACCUGUGAUGCACCACACAUGAUCUAUGGAAAAUUACAAAACAUUUCAUGCAGGGGAGAGAAUUUGGUGAUUCAUAGGCAUCAUUUGUUGCUGUGUGAAAGCUACUGGCACAGCCCACACUGAGCUGAUACAUUUAAUGACCAAUUCAUUUAGAAUUGGUUUUGUUGUUGGCUGAUAUUUUUAUUGGAGCUGAUACAAGAUAGCUUUACAUGGCAAAGCAUGCUGUGUUUUCUCUGUGUUUCUUCACUUACCCAACUGCAAAUCUGAUGUCAUUGUUUUGGCAAACAGCCCUGUGGUCUCUUUGGUGCUGUCCCUGCCUUUGGAGGUCUGGAGCAGGCUGGAAAUGCCAGGGGUGUUGCGUGUCUUAUUCACUGUGUCAGUCUUCCAAGCCCUCCAAGCUUUUCAAAUCAAGGUUGAUCUUUAUUGUUAAACAUCCCUUUUCUGACAUUUAACAACAUUCCCUGCUGUCUUGUCUGUGGAUGCUGUAGCAUUGAGCUGCUGUAGUAAGACAACAAAGAGUCCUCCCUUCCUCAGAAAUGGGCCCCCAUUUUGGGGAGUAUUGGGUUUCCAUGGCUGACUGGUGCCCAAUGUUUUGGACAGUGUCUGAAGUAGAUAUGCAGUGCAUUGCCCCAAAGCUUGGGAUAUGUGGUAUGGCCACAGAACUCCUGGGUGGCUGUGGCUAAAUCAGUCUGCCAUGCAGCUAAGCUAACCCUCUUUGUAGGUAGGGUUAUCCCUUCCAAGGUGUUGUGAGGAUAAUGGUACAGGUUGGGAUUUUUUAUUGCAGCAGGGCUGAGCCGUCUCUGAAUAGAGGGAAAGGGAUAGAUUGUGCUCAGGCACCAAUUUCAGUAAAGGUGCUUGUGUAAAAGCUUCAGUAAAUACCUGCAUAGGAAGGUGAUUGAUUACUUGAGAACACAGGACAGAGUAGAAGCAGUGGUGUAAGAGGGUGGUACACUCUGAAAGGAGGGAUAUAAAAGACACCCUGCCCCCUAAUGAGGGAGCAAGGAAGCUCUCUGAGAUUGCUGCAAGCCAGUUGUCCUGCAGUGUACUUCAAGUGCUGCAAAACUAUGAGAUUCAUGGAGUACCAAAACGUCCAUUGUGCUUCCCUGGCCAGAUCCCAGCCAGUUUGCAGUCUUGGGGGGCAAAGAACUUACCCUCUCAUUGUGGCAGUCCCUGGCACAAGCAGGAAUUGUUUUAAUUGCCCUCAGCAAUGUCGUGUCUAAAGUGUUUGCUGAAAUCUAAGCUGUUCAAUAAAGCAACUGUGGUUAUGUUUCAAAA